AAAGCUGAUUCCAGCUACAGGUUCAUACUGUUGUAUUCUUUUAUACUGUUUCAUUCGUACUGUUUUAAAUCAUUCAGUAAAUGCAAAGUUAAACCGUCGUGUUUUUCAUCUAGAUUUAAAAGUGUCUACCGUUGAAACACAUCUGAUCUCUUCUGAAAGCUGAUUCCAGCUCCAGGUGGCAUAUUAACUGAAUGCUGAUGCACCUUGUAUUUCGAUUGCUUUGUAUGCUUGAAACAUGUGAAGAAUUGACAAUAAAUAAUCUUUAUCAAGUGUUAUACAUUAAAAAGUGGAUAAGUAACAAAAAUGUCACUCCUGACAGCUGAUAAAUUAAUGUUUUUUUAUAGCACCAUUGAGGCGAGCACUUUUCAAGGCAAGAUUCUUUAUAGAACCUUAUAAAAAGUUUCCAUAUAGUACCAAAAAACGGGUUCUGCUGUGGUUACAUGCUGAGGAACCCUUAUUUGGUACUUUUUAGGAGCAUUUGUCUUAAGAGUGUUGCAUAGGUUCGAAACUUUCAAACUUGAAACCAAAUAGAAGGGUCACACUGUUUUUUUUUUGUGGAGUGGACAUGAACAAGCUGCAGGCAUUCAAAUGUUAUUUGUAAUUUAUUGUCUUAUUUCAUAUUUAAAAAAUAGCUAUACAACUGGUGUUCCUCAAUUUUAGGGCCUAUUUUGUUUAGUAUAUCAGUUUUGUUCAGUUUUUUAUGUGCAUGCAAAAAGCAAUCAGCAAGCAAAUUAACUGAAGCUUUUCCUUCAUGUUCUUUUUGUGUAAGUGAUAACUGUUUCUGUAUGUAUUUUAUGUAUUUGUAUGUUUUUUACACGUAUAGAGUGAAAUGCACACGGUGAGGAAUGGACCCAGACCUUCAGUGCCAGACCUCUGACCCGUUAACCUCCAUCCCGACAGCCAGCGCCUUCUCCGGCUCCCAUUGCGGUAUCGCUUCUCGGCUUUUUGGACAAGAACAAGUGGACACCGGGGACUACAAGUUUAAAUGGAUUUUUGACCUUCGGAAAUGGAAGCGAGGCUUGCUCCGUCCACUCCGUUCAUCGACUCGGGCGCUUUCCGGGCACAAAUAAGUUUGCGGAGGUGAUACCAGGACGAAUUAAACAGCCUCGACACAGCUGAAGGCGCAAGAAAAUCGUACGAGACAGUUUGGGAUGUUAAAAACACCUGAAAACUUUUUUUCCACUACCCUUCAUACUACAGCGGUCGAAAAACCACAGCAACGUCGACACGCCUGGAAGCAUAGCUGUAUUUGUUUAAGACAACGGCUGUCGAAGAACCACAGCAACGUCGGCAGAUCUGGAAGCAUAGCUGUAUUUGUUUAACUCACAACGACAACGGGUAAAUCAUUGAGCCCUUGUGUUUUUAUUUAUCCACGUUCUAAAAUUGCUAUGCUUUCGUUGUUUCUCGAUUGCUCUGUACAUUUCUUUGUUUCUAUUCCACGUAAAGUUACUUUGUAAUAACGAAACGAUAUAUUGAAAUGCGCUAUUUAAAUCCAUUUGAUUUAAAUUGUUUCACGUUUUUCUCUCUGCACGGUUUAACCGGGCUGGAAACGGAAAAUGGGUAGAUCUCGAAGAAUAUUUGGUUUCAGACCUGGCUUCGUGCGCCUUUCCGCCUGGUCACACGCAGUAAUGAAAUGGUAGUCGGACGGCCUUCGGGGGCGCCGUCGAUGUGAUCGGUCACAGGAAGAUGCGGCCGUCUGGCCUCAAAGGCUGUUGCUCAUACUUACCUGGCAGGGGAGAUACCAUGAUCAUGAAGGUGGUUCACCCAGGGCGAGGCUCAGCCAUUGCACUCCGGUUGUGCUGACCCUUUGCGAAUUCCCCAAAUGUGGGAAUCUCGACUGCAAAAUUUCUGAUAGUGGGGGACUGCGUUCGCGCUCUCCCCUGGC